UUCUUCCAUCAUCACCGGUAGCGGUGAUGCCGGCGACCAACCUCCGACAGACCUCACCUCAAAUAUAAAAAAAAUCAAAGUUAACCCCCCUUAAUUUUUCACAUAGAUUCCAAAUCUAACCUCAGUUUUUAAAAAUAAUCACUCACAUGGUCGGAUCGGCCUUCCAGAAAUCAAAAACCUAAUCUUACAAAAAUCAAACCUAACUCACCCAAUUUCGCUCGUCUCCCUCUUAUAAUCAAACAAUCGUACAUGAAAAAAACAAGAAAUCAUACACAAUACCCUUAAUAUCCAUAGAAAACCCUUAACCCCAUUUAUUUAUUUUUCGGUUACAGAUACAUAUGGGAAGGGGAAAUGCAAAUUGGAAGUGAUUACAAUAAUAUUAGAGAAAUUGAAAAACUACCAAGUUGAAGUUGGUAAUUGCUACUGUGACCGUGAGCUCUUCCAAGUGAUGGAGGGUGUUGCACAUGAAGGAGCAUGAGAGGGGCGUGGAACCUGCAAACUCAAAUCUAUUUUCUUUUUUAAUUUUUCUGUAUUAUUAUGUAAUGUUAUUAUUAUUAUUAUUAUGUAAAGUAGAUAAAACAAAUUUUUUUUGAAUUAUGUUCUAUUUAUUAUUCAUGUAUAAUGUAAUAAAAUAAUAAAAAAAACUUAG